rnacentral:snoRNA from 1 species
AAUCCAUGGUGAUGGCACCUUCUCAAUAGAUCCUUGUAUCUCUCCCAUGCAUCAUAGAGUGUUUCUAAAUCCAUUUGUACAAAGGAAGAAAUAUCAUUCCUUAAUU